AAGAGGUACAGAAGAAGGUGAAGUAGCAGACCUUUGUUUAGCAAUGGGAUCCAGUCUCACUGUGACUCCAGUGGCCGACAUACCUGAGUGUGUCGCUGAGAGAGGAGAGAAACUGGUUAUAGUGAACCUGCAAAAGACACCAUUGCACAGUAUUGCUGCACUAUGCAUUCAUGCUAAAUGUGAGGAAGUGUCCACAAUGGUAAUGGAGAAGCUUGGACUGCCCAUACCUGAGUUUAGAUUGAAGAGAAGAGUAUUCAUUAAAGUGACACAAAGUACUAAAGGACCUCCUGAAGAUCAGGUUUCUUUAUCAAUAGAAGGACAGCCUGGACAGAACAUGUAUGGAUUCUAUUUCUCAUUCCUAACUGGAGUUACAUGUGUUUGUGGGUGAAAGACCUCAACAGUUGCAAGAGCCUUUCUUUAUCAGGUUUCCAUGGAGAGCAUCAGCUGGUGCCUCAUCAGAUGAAAUGAAGGCUCAACCGAUGUUUCAUUUUCAAGGACAUUAUGGUGAACCACCACUUGAUAAAGAACUGAUUAUUAAAAAGGGAGUGAAAGAUAUGCAGCUCAAACUAUUAUUGAUUUAUAAUCCAGGAACAAGUGACUGGAGUAUAGAAGAUGAUGCUGCUGCUGUUGUAGUUCCAACUGCAGGCAUAAAGAAAAUAACGCUCAAGGAAUCAUAAAAAUUUUAUGUUUAAAGAAUGACAAAGAUAAAUGCCAAUCAUUGUUAUUAAAAGAAUAUUAUAACUUUAAACUA